rnacentral:rRNA from 1 species
UACGAAGGGGGCUAGCGUUGCUCGGAAUCACUGGGCGUAAAGCGCACGUAGGCGGAUCGUUAAGUCGGAGGUGAAAUCCUGGAGCUCAACUCCAGAACUGCCUUCGAUACUGGCGAUCUUGGAGUCCGGGAGAGGUGAGUGGAACUCCGAAGUGUAGAGGUGAAAUUCGUAGAUAUUCGGAAGAAACACCAGUGGCGAAGGCGGGCUCACUGGC